rnacentral:rRNA from 1 species
GUAGGUGGCAAGCGUUGUCCGGGAAUUAUUGGGGCGUAAAGCGCGCGCAGGCGGCUCUUUAAGUCUGAUGUGAAAGCCCACGGGCUCAACCGUGGAGGGUCAUUGGAAACUGGAGAACUUGAGUACAGAAGAGGAAAGCGGAAUUCCACGUGUAGCGGUGAAAUGCGUAGAGAUGUGGAGGAACACCAGUGGCGAAGGCGGCUUCCUGGUCUGUAACUGACGCUGAGGCGCGAAAGCGUGGGGAGCAAACAGGAUUAGAUACCCUGGUAGUCCACGCCGUAAACGAUGAGUGCUAAGUGUUAGGGGGUUUCCGCCCCUUAGUGCUGCAGCUAACGCAUUAAGCACUCCGCCUGGGGAGUACGGCCGCAAAGGCUGA